rnacentral:rRNA from 2 species
AGUGGCGCACGGGUGAGUAAUGCAUAGGUUAUGUGCCUCUUAGUUUGGGAUAGCCAUUGGAAACGAUGAUUAAUACCAGAUACUCCCUACGGGGGAAAGAUUUAUCGCUAAGAGAUCAGCCUAUGUCCUAUCAGCUUGUUGGUAAGGUAAUGGCUUACCAAGGCUAUGACGGGUAUCCGGCCUGAGAGGGUGAACGGACACACUGGAACUGAGACACGGUCCAGACUCCUACGGGAGGCAGCAGUAGGGAAUAUUGCUCAAUGGGGGAAACCCUGAAGCAGCAACGCCGCGUGGAGGAUGAAGGUUUUAGGAUUGUAAACUCCUUUUGUUAGAGAAGAUAAUGACGGUAUCUAACGAAUAAGCACCGGCUAACUCCGUGCCAGCAGCCGCGGUAAUACGGAGGGUGCAAGCGUUACUCGGAAUCACUGGGCGUAAAGAGCGCGUAGGCGGGAUAGUCAGUCAGGUGUGAAAUCCUAUGGCUUAACCAUAGAACUGCAUUUGAAACUACUAUUCUAGAGUGUGGGAGAGGUAGGUGGAAUUCUUGGUGUAGGGGUAAAAUCCGUAGAGAUCAAGAGGAAUACUCAUUGCGAAGGCGACCUGCUGGAACAUUACUGACGCUGAUUGCACGAAAGCGUGGGGAGCAAACAGGAUUAGAUACCCUGGUAGUCCACGCCCUAAACGAUGGAUGCUAGUUGUUGGAGGGCUUAGUCUCUCCAGUAAUGCAGCUAACGCAUUAAGCAGACCGCCUGGGGAGUACGGUCGCAAGAUUAAAACUCAAAGGAAUUGACGGGGACCCGCACAAGCGGUGGAGCAUGUGGUUUAAUUCGAAGAUACACGAAGAACCUUACCUAGGCUUGACAUUGUGUGAAUCCGCUAGAAAUAGUGGAGUGUCUGGCUUGCCAGACCUUGAAAACAGGUGCUGCACGGCUGUCGUCAGCUCGUGUCGUGAGAUGUUGGGUUAAGUCCCGCAACGAGCGCA